rnacentral:rRNA from 1 species
UGGGGAAUAUUGCACAAUGGGCGCAAGCCUGAUGCAGCCAUGCCGCGUGUAUGAAGAAGGCCUUCGGGUUGUAAAGUACUUUCAGCGGGGAGGAAGGCGACAGGGUUAAUAACCCUGUCGAUUGACGUUACCCGCAGAAGAAGCACCGGCUAACUCCGUGCCAGCAGCCGCGGUAAUACGUAGAGAGCAAGCGUUGUCCGGAUUUACUGGGUGUAAAGGGUGCGUAGGCGGCUUUGCAAGUCAGAUGUGAAAUCUAUGGGCUCAACCUGGGAACUGCAUUCGAAACUGGCAGGCUAGAGUCUUGUAGAGGGGGGUAGAAUUCCAGGUGUAGCGGUGAAAUGCGUAGAGAUCUGGAGGAAUACCGGUGGCGAAGGCGGCCCCCUGGACAAAGACUGACGCUCAGGUGCGAAAG